GGUUGGUGUGAGCGAGGUGGUGGACACCUGGCCUUCAUUCUAAAUAUCGAUACACAGCAGUUCCUACAGAAGCACCUGCAGCCAGAGCAGGACUGGUGGCUGGGUCUGGCACCUGCCUCCCCAAACCUAACACUGUUGCUAAAGGUCCUCUCUCCUGGCAUGAUGGCUCUGACGUCAGCUACUCUAACUGGGUGAACGACCCUGAUCCAGGGGCUGGCUGUGGUCACAUACUGAGGAGCUCAGGGUUCCAGUGGGAGGCAACAAGCAACUGUAGCCAGGAGCUGCACUUCAUCUGCCAAUUUGGUGUCUGGAGCCAACGGCAGCAUCUCAAAGACCAGAGACAUUUGAAAACGGAAGCAUGCAGGUUUACAAUAUCUCAACCACUAUCCAAGGAUAUUUGCAAGUGUAAGUCAGGUCCUGGAUUGUCUUCUCACACAUGGAUGUGGAUAACACAGCAGUUGUUUGUCACAACAGUUCAGACCUCAGACAGAAAAGCAUAUGAGAGUUUGUCGAGCCUACACCUUGAGAAUUACUGCCAGUCCAGAAACUACCCGUCAAGACACUGAAAGCGUCAAACUUGAGUAGAGGAAGACUGUAAGGGUAAGGGAAAAUGCAACGAUAAAACAACGGACAAGACUUGUUUGAUUGAAAAAGACUGUCUUCCAAACCCAUUCGAGCACUUUUUCUGUGAAGAGACGGAUUGGCAAUGGGAAAUGGGUUGACUGGAUUUAAACAUGGCGAUGCAUCACGGUUACUCCAACAAAAUUCACCAACUUUAGAAUUUGGUAAUAUGGGGAUAGGCCUAAAAUAGUGAAGUGAAUAUAUAUGUCAUGCUAUUUAUUUCAUGACAACUCCUAUCAGUAUCAUUAUAAAACAGGCAAUGACAAUAUUAUACAAAUUGCAAUUUAAAUAUCACUACAAUUAUAGUAUCAUCAUCAUAAUCAUCCUCAGAGAAGUACAAGUAACUUCCAAAAUAAAGGAAACACCAACAUAAAGUGUCUUAAUAGGGUGUUGGGUCACCACGAGCCGCCAGAACUGUUUCAAUGCACCUUGCAUAGAUUCUACAAGUGCCUGGAUCUCUACUGGAGGGAGGUGACACCAAUUUUCCUCUAGAAAUUCCAUCAUUUUGUGUUUUGUUGAUGCUGGUGGUGGAAAACGGUCUCAGGCGCCACUCCAGAAUCUCCAAUAAGUGUUCAAUUGGGUUGAGAUCUGGUGACUGAGACAAACACACACACACACACCGUUAACCCUGUAUGCUACUUUGAGACCCCUCUUUCAAAGUCACUGACAUCUCUUCAUCCAGCCAUGGUAACCAAAAUAAUGGGCAACUGGGCAUUUUUAUACAUGACCAUAAGAAUGAAGGGAUAAUAAUAAUUGCAUAAUUAACUCAGGAACAACACCUGUGUGGAAGGACCUGCUUUCAAUAUACUUUGUAUCCCUCAUUUAAUCAAGUGUUUCCUUUAUUUUGGCAGUUACAUGUGUUGGACAUCAUAAUGCUUUUGGACUGGCCUAAGUGGCCAUACAGAAUGUUGAUAAAUAUCUGGAAUGAAUCGAGUUAGAAAUUAUUUAGCUUAAACUAUUGACAGAUUUGUAAUCCUUAAGUGUACAACAGGGUAAUGACAUUAGCAUAUUAAUUGACUGAUUUAAUUAGAAUUCAGAAGAAAAUUGGUCACAUUUAACAUGCGUUGCUCUCAUGCCUAUGGAGCAUGCUGUAAUGACACUAAUAAUAAUGUUGCAUUAAAUGCCCAAUAAUGACAUAAUAAUGUAUGUAUUGCUUUGUUAUUACAAAGGUAAACUGUUUCUGGUACAACACUGUUACUAUUACCAUUUGUAUGAUAACAAUAACUGUCCAUUGCUAUGUAUUUACAAAGCAAUAAUCAAGUUACUAUGUUACAAAAUGUGAAUUCAAUGUUUUUAAGAUGAUCUAUUUUAUGCUAAAAAACAGUACCUAUAUUCUUUCAGUUGCCAGGAUAAUUGUAAUACAGUGGAUGUAAAAUGUUUUUUUUUAAAUGUACAAUUAAAAUUGGACUUACUGUUGAAGGACCCAAAACCUUCAACAGUAAGUCUGAGAUUCCUUUAUUGUUGCAUGCUGAAUGCAAUCAUAUUUUUUAUUGGUAUCAAACCAAAUUUUACUUGUCGCAUACACGUGUUUAGCAGAUGUUAUUGCGGGUGUAGCGAAAUGCUUAUUUUCAUGUGUGAAUGAGUUUCGUUAGAGUGCAUGAAUCAAUUUAUUGACUAACCCAUGUUGUCUAAUUUGGAGUUGACAUAUUGUAGAUAAAUAAAACAAAUUGAUGCAUAAACCCACCCGUUUCCCAACAACAGCCAGUAUCUGUACAGGCAGCUAUGCCAUGUAGAGAAGGAGUUGAGCCUACUGGGACCCUCUCGUUUCCCCAACUCAGACAGCAACUGCCGGG
ensembl:lncRNA